AUCGCUAUUCACAAGUUCAACUAUUCCAUCUGCUUCUUGUGAAAGCUCUUCAACAUCGAAGGAUUCUUUAACAAAUUUGGCACUGUUUAACCAUCCACCAAGCACUUUUAAUCAUAUGAAUCGCUGUCAAUAAGUUGAACGAUUUCUUAAAUCUCCAACCGUGUUUCCUUUUUCAAGAGCAGGUAGUUGCUUCCGUACUAUCAUUUGGCGAUAAUAUGCUUUAAAAGCAUGGAUAAUGCCUUGAUCGAGCGGUUGCACAAUUGAUGUGGUGUUUGCCGGCAGAUAAAACAUUUCCACAUUUUUUAAAGAUACUGGCUUGUGAGGAGCGGCAUUAUCGAUGAAUAUAAUUACCUUCCUGUUUUGACUGUGCAUCUCCUUGUCAAAGGAAUUUAGAAUAGGGGUACAUAUAUCUUGAGUCAUCCAUGCAUUUUUCUGUGAAAGAUGCAUUGCAAAAAAGCAGAUCGUCAGGCGCUCCUUUGAUGAUUUAAAUCCUUAGCGCUGUAAUUCUGGAUUAAAUUGGGUAGCA